rnacentral:rRNA from 1 species
AUGAUAGGUAACAAGGCAAGUCAGUUUGUAAAGGAAAGUGAUCAAAAGAGACAGGAAAAUAAAGAUUGUUAUUUUUUUAGUCGGUCACGACCACCAGAAGUUGCCGAUGGUUUGCCUAACGAGCAUCGCUCGUGGAGAUUAUUCUCCCUGAAGGACACGGGCUGGGGCCCACCAACAUGCAUGGCAAUUAGAGAUAACGUGCAUGACACAAAUAUUAGAUACAUCAGCUUAGAUUUUUCUGGUUCUAGUUGGUUGGGUACUUUUCUUUCGGGUCAAGUUAGAGGUGCGGCUACUACUAUAAAGCCAAGCCUGCGUGCUUUGUAA